rnacentral:rRNA from 1 species
GACGAACGCUGGCGGUGUGCUUAACACAUGCAAGUCGAACGGUAAGGCCCUUUCGGGGGUACACGAGUGGCGAACGGGUGAGUAACACGUGAGUAACCUGCCCUCAUCUCUGGGAUAACAGUCGGAAACGGUUGCUAAUACUGGAUAUGAGCUUGCAAGGCAUCUUGUGGGUUGGAAAGAUUUUUUUUGGUUGGGGAUGGACUCGCGGCCUAUCAGCUUGUUGGUGAGGUAGUGGCUCACCAAGGCUUCGACGGGUAGCCGGCCUGAGAGGGCGACCGGCCACAUUGGGACUGAGAUACGGCCCAAACUCCUACGGGAGGCAGCAGUGGGGAAUAUUGCACAAUGGACGGAAGUCUGAUGCAGCAACGCCGUGUGCGGGAUGACGGCCUUCGGGUUGUAAACCGCUUUCAAUUGUGACGAAGCUUUUUUGUGACGGUAGCAGUAGAAGAAGCACCGGCUAACUACGUG